AUGCCAAACACCAAAAGCUCUGGUUUUGGAGCCAUUUCAGCCAUUUCAACACAUCCUGACUUCUGGUAUCAGGGAAUCACAGGAGCUGCAUACUUGAAGUACAUCAGCAGCCACAGGCAUGAUGUGGUGGCAACACAUUCUCUCACCAUGGGAACAGAGAGUGUGGUAGUCCUGGUUCACUCUGUUUCCACUCCUCUGCAUCUUUCCAAGGAAGCUCCGAAAUGGUGGCCAAGCUGGCAGGGAUUGGGUUUCAGAUUGCCACUGGUGUGUUUCAUCACAGAAGGAUUUUGGAGGCUCCUUGCCCUGGAGGAGCCCUGCAGACUUCCUGCCUGCUCACAGCAGGAACAUGCAGGAAUCUCAGGACAGUGCUCAAAACAAACUGGCACAAAGGACCUGAAAAAUGUGGGGAGCAUCUAAUAGAAAGAUCUUUCAGAAGAAUGCAAUACCUUUGAAUAAUAUUCAACAUAAUAUUCAGAAGGAAAUAUAUUUGAUAGUGGUUUACUUGUUGCACUAUAAGCUCUUUUCUGAGAAACAAGAAAUUCUAUGUAUUUUCUCCAAACGGGUUCUAGAAGGAAUACUGGAGCAAAGCAUAGAAAAAGUUAGGACUGACAUGGAAAUGGUGGUUAAUAUAUAAUGGUCUUUGAAAACAAUAUGUUAGCCUCUUCUAGUGAGCAGUGCCCACUGAAGACCCUGUACAUAUAAUCAUAGCAUCAUAGAAUGGUUUGGAUUGGGAUGGACCUGUAAGAUCAUCCAGUUCCAGGUCCCUGCUAUAGGCAAGAACACCUCUCUCCAGACCCUCUACAUCCUAAUACAAAAGCUCUUCUGUCUGCAAACCUGUUUAUUAACCAGCUGCCUUCCAUUCAAACAGUAAGGAGAAAAUGGUUGAUUAUCUUCAGCCCCCAUCCCUCCAUUUGAUAUAUGCACGGACACCAUUACGAAAUUUUUCCAUGCUCAUUAAUGCCAGUGAAUGGCUUUUUUCUCUCCCAGAGAAAGAAUAUUAGCAGAUUUCCAUGACCCAGGCCUUUCUUUCUACAGGCCUGCUGGAAUCAGUAGAGCUCGCAUGGCUGUGGGCACUGACAUCCCUGUGCAAGGGCUAUCAGCUUGCAUUAGUCACAACAAACCUCCUCCCAUCUCGCAGGGCCCUUUUCACAGAACAGUUGCUGGACGAAGGUUGCCUUGUUCUUAUCUCUUUUGGUUGCCAACAAAUGAAAUUAUAAAUGAGUGACAGGUAGGACCACAUUCAGGAGCAAGGUUUUUAACAGAGACUUUCUUUGUCUCUGGAAGUUGAGCAGUAAAGCUUCUUCCUGCAAAUCCUGGGCAGAGGGAGGGUCAUUUUCUAAAUCUGAAAGGCAAGCAUAGAGGCUUAAUUAUGAGCAGUGGCCAUCUUCCACUAAUUUCAUGAUUUUGAAAGCUAUUUCACAGGAGGCUGUGGGCACAGCUUAAAAUAUCUUGCCCAGUCCUUUAAAAUUGACAUUAAAAACAAAAGAGUGAUUUUUCUUUAUUAAAAUAAAAAAGAGAGAGAGGGAGAGAGAUAAAAAAGG
rnacentral:lncRNA from 1 species